rfam:Marine metagenome ctg_1101668116881, whole genome shotgun sequence.
GGCCAGCACUUAAUCCUCGGAUCGUCGGGCACGUACCUGCCCGGAUAAGGAAAGUGA